rnacentral:piRNA from 1 species
GACACCUGACUGUGAAUCUGUACCUGACCC